CCUACGGGAGGCAGCAGUGGGGAAUAUUGCACAAUGGGGGAAACCCUGAUGCAGCAACGCCGCGUGAGUGAAGAAGGAUUUCGGUAUGUAAAGCUCUAUCAGUAGGGAAGAAGAAAGAGGGUACCUGACAAAGAAGCCCCGGCUAACUACGUGCCAGAAGCCGCGGUAAUACGAAGGGGGCAAGCGUUAUCCGGAUUGCCUGGGGGUAAAGGGAGCGUAGAGGGGUGGGCAAGUCUGAAGUGAAAGCCCGUGGCUCAACCGCGGAACUGCUUUUGAAACUGUAUUGCUUGAGUACUGGAGAGGCAGGCGGAAUUCUUGGUGUAGCGGUGAAAUGCGUAGAUAUUAGGAGGAACACCAGUUGCGAAGGCGGCCUGCUGGACAGAAACUGACGUUGAUGCUCGAAAGCGUGGGGAGCAAACAGGAUUAGAUACCCGAGUAGUC
rnacentral:rRNA from 1 species